rnacentral:lncRNA from 1 species
CAAGAAGAAGACGAAGAAGAUGAGGAUGAUGAUUACUUUUUCAGUGGAUUUACUUGGGAAGCGGUGGUGAUUGGAUAUGGGUGUGGAGUGGUGCCUGCAUUUAUCACUGGCUACCUGAUGUUGUUGGCACGGAAACCAAAAUGGUUUGCUGGAAUCAUUGGCAGGGAACUGGGCCUGAAGAUCAGGAGGAUGGAGAUUAGAAGGCGAUAACUAAAGGUUUGCUGUAAUCUAUAUCCCAAUCUGUAGGUCUUGAAUAUUCAGUAAUAAUAUAUAUAGUAAUAUCUGCUAUCAUAUAAUUCUAUAUUUGCAGAUUGGAGAGGCAUGAACAUUUUGGCAUGCAAGUUGAUGGGACAAGCAGGAUUCAGAUGCACUGGAAUCAACCACUACUUCAGCUGUUUAAUUUGCAUCUUUUCUAAGUUACUCUGCACAUAUUCUAAGUUCCAUAUACAAGUUCUGUAAUGUUUAGUUAUUCUGCACAAACUCUAAGUUAGUUUCAACCACUGGGGUGUAAGCAGCCAAGUUAAUAAACCAGCAGUUUCUGCAGCUUUCACAACGUUGCUUCAUAUUAUUUUCCCCCUUAUUAGAUGAGCAAUAUAUUUGUGGAAUGGAUGUACCUGAAUUUGGUAUCCGAAGCUUAGUUAUAGAAAUUGUAGAUCAGCUAGUUUGCAACUUAGUGAGAAUGCUUUCCAUUGGACUUGAUUUACUCGUAGAGAAGCAGCACGCAAUGUUAAGGAAGGCCUGAUACAUAAUGUAUUCGAGGAAGUUUUGGAUUUCUUUUUAUUGAGAGUUUUUGCAAAACGUGGUUAAGAAAUUUGAGUUUUAAAAUUAGCUGUAAAAAGUAAUAGGUCAAUUGUAUUAGAUAUUUCAUGCAUUUGAGUUUUAAAAUUAGCUGUAAAAAAUAAUGGGUCAACGGCAACAGAAAUGAAUUGGUUUGGUUUCACCCGUAAGAGUUCUGCACUUCACACUCUAAAUUCCAGAAUUAAUAAAUUCAAGUCAUCUUUUAUGUCUUAGAGCAUCUCCAACCAUACAAAUUUCUUAACUAAAAAAUGAGGCAUUACAAAUAUAGAAAAUUAGUCAACUUGUUGAAAAAAUCAUAAAACCUGUAGUCUAUAAUUUUAGCCAACCUCUUACUAUAUUUGUCGAAUCUUUACAGAUCUACAAAUUUCUUACACGUUAUUUAUUACCAUAUUAAACUGAUAUAUUCUAUUUUAACAAACUAAAAUAUCAUUGAAGUACAAUGUCUUACAACUUCUGUAUAUAAUGUCUUACAAGUUCAAUUUAACCAACGAUUAUAGCCUACGAUGUUGCAAUGCUCUUAAGCCACUCUUUAUUAUUUUUGAUUCCAUAAUAAAUAAGUUUAAACUUUAAACUUUUUAUAUUUAAUAAAUUUAUAUAAUUAAUAAUAAUUUAAUUAUUAUUUUUUUAUUUGUAUUAAGUUUAAUUUAUAGAUACCUUUAUAUCAAAAAUACUAAAAUCAAUCAAAAUUUUAAUAUUUUGAUUCAGUAACUGGAAUAUAAAUAUAUCUAACUUUUGAAAUGAUAAAUAAAUAGUUUAUGAUUAAUAAAAAACUAGUAAGUAACUUGCACGAUUUCUCUUAUUUACAGUAAUAAAUCUCUUAUUAGCACUUUCAACUAAAUAUUUCUCCCAAACACUUAUAAUUUAUGUCCAAUUUUCAUAUUAUUUCCUUUAGAAAGACUGUUGUAUUAUUUUUAAUUUUAGUAAUUAGAUUAUUUUUAUAUAUAUAAAUUCCAAAUUUAAAAAACUUAAUAUUUUUGUCACGCUGCUUCUUAUAAUUUGUAAUACAAAUUAUUUCUAGAUAAAAUUAAUAUAUUAAUAAAAAUAGUGUAAACUCCAUAUAAUACAUUGAAAUUAAAUAAAUAUGCUCUGUACUUUUUUUUCACAUGCAAAAAACUGCACUGUUUCGGUUUAAGCAAAGCGUGAUAAUCAGGACUCCUAGCUGGAAUGGCGAGUAUUAUUCCUACGAAGAAGAUGAUGUUCAUGAUAUCCCUUCACCCCCAAAGACAAAGAAUUGGAGCAUGAAUUCUGAUUACUGCAUGUGGGAUGGAGUUAGCUGCGACGAGAAUACAGGGGACCUAAGGGGACUGGAUUUAAGCUGCAGUCAUCUGGUGCAUUGGAAUGAAAUUAUAGAACUUCUUCAGAGCCUGAUGCUCUCGAGGAUGCACUAAUGAACAAGCCUAAUGAUGAUCAUGAGUCAUAACUCCGUCCUAGAAUAAAGUAUCAUGAAACAUAUUUAGUAUUACAUUUUGUAUUAUUGGAAACUUGAUUUGAAACCGAAAUAGUUUGGUGGAAUCAUUGCCAGGGUAUUGGGUCCGAAGAUCGAGGAUGGAGAAUAAAUUGAUUUUGUUCAAAUAUUUAACACAACCCCAUCAUCAUUAUCCAUCACAAGCCCGGUCCAGUGUAGAGUUCUGGCAACUCCAUUUCUUGACACUUCUGUUGAAGUUGGCCUGUCUGGCAGACAAGAGGCCCUGUUUUAGAGGUGAUAUAUGCGCACAGGUCAAAAAUAUACUCCCUCCGUCCCACCAGAUUCUUUACAGUUUCCUUAUUUGGUCGUCCCACCCAUUUCUUUACAUUACAAAACUUUCUUAAAAUAGUUAAUGGGUCCCAACACUUUUCCACUUUUUCUCCCUUUUCACACUACUUUUACUCCACUAUCUCUUUAUUAUAUAUUAAAAAUCAGUGGGUCCCACCACUUCACCCACUUUUCUUUCUUUUUCCCACUACUUUAUACAUAUUUCUUAACCUCCGUGUCCAAACCCAAUGUAAAGAAUUGGGUGGGACGGAGGGAGUAUAUUUCUUCCAAUAGAUUACAUCUCUUUUCUUCAAAAUUUAUUGUAGUUUCAAAAUGUAGCAUUUGAGAACUCAUUCUCUUCACUUCUUAAAUACUUGGUCUUGGUCAAUACAAACACGAUUAAGACCGGUGUCAAUAUCACUCAUUAUUUUUCCACUCCUUUGAAUGGCAUUCUACAAUCCACAUAUCAGUACUCAGACUUUCACCAGUGAACCAUUAAUGCAUAGAUAAUUGAAGAAAGAAACUUCAACAUAUUUGCAUAUCUUUAUCCAUCUUUUUUUUCUAGUCAUCAACAGGCACAAGCUGUUAAUUUUUAUAUGUUCUUAAUUGGUAUAAGCAUUUAAGGUGCGUGUUGAUAUUUCUCACUAAUCUUCUUCUGCUCUAAGUGACAUAUUAUUACAAUCCACAAAUUAGUAGACAGACUAAUAUGGUUAGUUGAGACCAUCAAUCUGGAGAACAGACUAAUACAUGUGUAGUAAUCUGAUCAUCAUUUAUUUGAUUACAAUAGAAAUUCGGCUUUGUUUAGUUCCAUCCUCGGGCUCUUCAUUUCUAAACAUAUUUGCUGAUACUUUUUAUUGUACAAUUUAGAAUAUUCCAUAAAAUUUUAAAUUCGGUGCUAGAUGAUUUUAUGUCCUGUUUUCAUUCCAUUCAUGAACUAAUGAAAAUUUUGAAAUUGGGUCAUAUUAGGCAGUGAUGCCACCUUUCUGGACCUGCAUUUCAUGGCCACAAACUCCUAUUGUGCCAAAAAAUUCCAGCUGUUUGGUGAGAUUUUUCUACGUGCUCUUUUGUUCGGACUUGUUUGCUGAAUCCCACAAUAGACAAUAUUGAUGUUAACAACUCUUGCGUCAGUUACUAGACUUGUCAGUAGCCCAUUCUUUACGGCAGACGUGGAAUUUACUUGAAGAAAUGAAGGUGUAAGAAAGUUGAGAACAUUUUGUUGAUUAUUUCCUUCCCCAGAAACUGCACUCCAGCAUCAAAGUACCUUUCAAAGACUCCAGCAUCAUUUCUUGAUUAUCAAAGUCUUCGUCUUUGUCAUCUCCUGCUCUGAAAGUGCUUCUAUUGCAGACCACAUAUUAGUAGACAGACUACUAAAAUUCAUCUAAAAUGACCUCUCUGCGUGGGCUCUUUUGAACAAUCAGGGUUGGACAUGAUUCUACACGCAUCAGAGAAAAACUAUCAGCUGGCUAAAAACCUCUCUGCAUCAACUCUAUUGAGAAAAGAAACUAUGGCUCAUACAGUUUAAGUUGAUACCAAAUCGUAAAUGAGAAUACUUGCAGUUUUAAAUUACUGCACGCUAUUUUUUCAACGAAAAUAUGUGCAGUUUUAACAUAGUCUAAUUAUUUUCUUGAUGACGGCUCUGCAAAUUGUGAUAGUUGAAAAUCUUUUUAUCGUCUUUGACAAGCAUCAAGGAAAUGCAGGAAGGUUAUUUAUCAGCUGAUUAAUCUCUUUCUUUGUCUCUGAAAAUCCUUACAUUAGAUCUGUUGAGAGUCUUUACUGGGGAUAAUCUUCUGUCACUGGAUCUGUUGAGGUAACUUUGGGACAAAGUACUGUCUCUAUUACAUGGAAGUUUGAACUGUUUCAUAUUUUUUAGACAACUAAAUGCACUUACAAACUCGACUUGUGUUUGAAAAGGUUCAGACACUCGAACCUUGAAAAGAACGAGAGAGAUAUUAUUGGAUCAAGAGAUCUUUAGUCAGGUCUAGUGCUUUCUUAAAUUAAUUUCCUAAAGUUUCAGUUAAGAUGUGAACCAAAGCUCUUGGUGGUGGUUCUCAUUGCUCUCUUUGUUCCAAAUUAAACUUAAAAAUUGUUGUGUGAUCCCAAGUUGCGGGUUUACUGAUGAGAAUAAUAAAUAUUCAACUGAUGAUACCGAAGCAGCAGCAUACUGCAAUUUCUUGUAAUAAUCAAAAGUGCGAGUACUUAUAAAGAAACUUAUACCUAUAAAGCUGUAGAAACCAAUGGUAAGCAUAACUGCAUAUAAGAUACAAAACUAAAUUUAAUACAAGACUUGUUCUAAGCAUUGGAAAAUAUAAUUCAUCCUGGUCUUCAUCUUCUACUGCUCCAAAUAUGCUUUUAUUGCAGCCAAUGUAUUAGUGAAAAGAAUUAAAUUUAAAUUAAUUGUAGACCGCAAAUAUAAGAUUAUGAGAGUUUCUACAACCCACAAAUUAGUAGACAGACUAAUAUGGUUAGUUGAGACCAUCAAUCCGGAGAAACUGUUUCUAAAAUGACCCAUCUGUAUGAAUUAAUGAAGAAAGAAACUUAUACCUACAAUGUAAAGGAAAUGGUCACGAGUAUAUUGCAUUUUUAAUCCAAAUUGUAUAUGAUUCUAUCUGUGCUACUGAUAGUAAAUAAUAAAUCUACCACGGGCCUUGUAGUUAAUCAAGGUAUUUAACUCUACCUUUCUACAUUGUUGAAUAGUUUGAAUAAAAUAAUUGUAAUAAAAUUUUUUCUGGUGCUGUGUGAGUUUAUCAAAGCUAAUCUCGGUGAGAAAUUAACUAAAGCCCUUGGAAUUAGUAAAUAAAAACUCUGGGGAGUGAAAUUAAAAGUCUGAGUACAAGGCAAUGAGCAGGAAACAGCAUAAGGAGUUUACAACUUGAAGUUUCUAUUCUCCUCCGGUCUUUUUGUGAAAAUCAAGUGGCCAUUGAUACAGUUAAAAAUGGCAGGACUACACAUAAUAAAUCACACAGUCGCUUUAUGAGAGAGGAAAAAUGUCAGGACUGCAAUGCAUUUCUAGCCCAUUUUGUACAGCAGCUCAAACGUUUAAAAAACUUCAUUAAUUAUUUUCUUUUAUUGAAACCCACACUCAUCCAUCAAAGUAGCUCUCAAAGACUAAUUUCCAUCACCUUUUGAUUCUCAAAGUCUUCUUCUUCGUCUUCUACUGCUCCAAAAGUUCUUACAUUGCACGCCACAUAUUAGUAGACAUAUACUUGAUCUUGAUGUACAAUGUUAUGUUAUGAUGCUAAUAACCCUCUGCAGGGGUUAUUAAAGAAAGCAACUUAUAGUUUAAGUUGCUGAACAUUUGUGUGUGCCAAAUUUAAUUUCACACAUCAUUACUAGAUUUACACAUGGUAUUAGACAUCAGUACUAGUAUAAGAUGUUAAUCAAGUUUUUGAAUUUCUUUUAUUUCAGAUAACAAGUUUAAUUUUUUUUUUGUGGAAUUAAUUAUUUAUAUCACGCAUUUGAGCUUUAAAAUUAGCUCUAAAUAAAAGUUGAUUUUCGCUCAAAGAAACAAUGAUGUAUAAGAAGAUUUUCAGAACUGAAUUAUUUCUUUCAUUUUUACAAGUUCCAUUCAAGAACCGAAAGUAGCUCACAAAGACUCACUACAUCAUCUUUCAAUUCUCAUAGUCUUGGUCUUUGUCUUCUGCUGCUCAAAAAUUCUAUUACAGCCCACAUAUCAGUAUCAUAAACCUAAUUAUGAAUAGUAUUUAACACUAAACACAAUUGAAGAUUUGUCUCACAGACUUACUUCCAUCACCUUAUGGUUCUCAAAGUCUUCGUCUUCUAAUGCUCCAAAAGUUCUAUUAGUGCAGGCCACAUAUUAGUAAACAGACUACAAUUCAUCCAAAAUGACCCCUCGUAUUGGACACUUUGAACACCUCUGUCUGUAUAUGCAUUGGAGAAGAAUUAUCAGCUAGUUAAAAUAAGGGAAAUUCUUCAUGGUACACUCAUAAAAUUGGCUUUUCUCAAUGGUACCAUCCCAUUUUUGACUGGUACCAGUGGUACCCUCGUACUUUGAAUCUACUCUCUAUGGUACACUCGUGUACUUUUGAUCUAAAAUUGGAUGUAAAAGUUGUUUAGAGACGGGUAUUUUGUCUAAGUUUGUAUUUAAUCAUCAGGUAUUUGGUCUUUUAGUCAGACUGUGGCUCAUACAGUUUGAAGUUGAUAUCAAAUCUUAGAUGAGAGUGUUUGCAGUUUUAUAUUACUGAACAUUUUUUCUUGAAUUCGAUAUCGAAUUUUAAACGAAAAUAUGUGCAGUUUUAAUUUGAAAGUUAUGCAAAUUACAUUAAUAAUAUCAUCUAUUUUGAGUCUCUUGGUCUUCGGUCUUCUAUUGCAGCAUAUCAUAUACUUCUCAAAUGAUUGAAAAUGAACUCUCUCCAAAAGACAAGGGGGUCUAUCGAAGUAGACCUGCAAUUGAUUUUACUUGAAGAAACAAUAAUACUCCAGUUCACUUCUUAAAGUUUUGGUCGUCUUUUAUCUCUCAAAGUCUUGAUCUUUGUCGUUUACAUCUCAAACAAUUUUCCAUCGUAUUGAACACUUCACACAAUUCCAUCGUAUUGAACACUUCACACAAUUCCAUGCUAUCGUAUCAAACACUUCACACAAUUCCAUAAAAUUGAAGAUUUUUGACGAGAUGUUUUAACUAUGAGUUCUUCAAAUUAUUGCUUGUAAGGCCCGCGACAUUUUAGAGAGUCACCAAAGCUUUGGCCUGUGGAUUAAGUUGAUGAAAUCUAAUGCAUCGGAAUCAAUGACAACACUAUUUUAGGGGCUUGAUGCUCUUAAUAUUAUUCAUUCCGCUCAUAAAUUUCAAGUGGAGAGUGGAGAAGAAAGAGCAUCGUGAUUGUCACGGUACCCUUACUUAAAAUUUGUUCGAUUAGGUUUUUUUACGUAGUUUGCGCUUGGUCAUCUAGGUAGGCCUUCAUUAUAUUAACCCACUCGCAUGUCUUCAGCCACUCUUGUAAUUUCAUUAGGGCUGUCAAAAAAGUCCGAAAAAUCCGAUAUCCGUCCGAAAAAUCCGCAUUCGUAUCCGAGAUAAAGCGGAUAUUAUCCGUAUCCGAGACAAAGCGGAUAUUAUCCGCAUCCGAAUCCGACAAUUCCGGAUACGGAUACAGGCAUAUUUGUAUCCGAUAAUAUCCGAAUCCGAAAUUAAAUAUAUAUAUGAUAUUAAAUAUUAUAUAUGUAUAUUAUUAGUAUUAUUCAAUAACUAUAUAAUGUGUGUAUUUAUAUAUGUAUACAUAAAAUAAUAUAUUUAUAUAAAUUUUGUAUAAUUUUAAAAUAUUAUAGACAUAUAUCAUAAUUUUAUUUGAGUUUGAUAUUCUAAAGAUAACAAAUUUAUAUUGAAAGAUAAAUAAGAAUUAAUUUUUGAAUUAAUAUAAACUUUAUUUAAUGAUUUUAAUUUUUUUACUCAGUUUUUAAAAAUUAAACUUUAAUUUUUACUAUUUUUUAUGAUUUUUUAGAAAUUUUAAUAAAAAAAUAAAAUUUCUGAUUAAAAAUCAGAUUCGGAUCCGGAUAUUAUCCGAAUCUGGAUAAUAUCCAUCGGAUCCGGAUUCGGAUAUCAUCCUUUAAAAUAUUUCGGAUUCGGAUCCGGAUACGGAUAUGGAUUUUCGGAUUCGGAUCCGGAUACAGGCAGAUCCGUAUCCGAAUUAUCCGUUUGACACCCCUAAAUUUCAUAUUAAACAAAUUUAAAUUUCUUACAUAAAUUUGUAAAAAUAAUAAAUUUUUUCUUAUUUAUGAUAUUAAUAAAUCUCUUACUCUCUUAUUACUGUAUUCAACUAAUUAUUUUUUCCUAACAGUUAUAAAUGUAUCACAUCAGUUAUGAAAUUUAAAACAAAUAUGUCCAAUUUUUUCGAGAAAGAUGGUUGUAUAAUUUUUAAUUUAAAAUUUUAAUUAUUUUUAUUUUCAAUAUAAUUUACAACUAAAUUUUUUUUAUUAUAAUUUCACUGCUUCAUAUUUGUAAUAAAAUUAAAUAUAUCAUAAAUACACUUUUUUCUAUAUAUAUGCUAACCUCUAGAGAUGUUAAAGAUCAUCCCAAACAAAAUUUGAAAGCGAAAAUGAAAAUGAAAAAUUCCGUACUCUGUUUUUUCACCAUCAGUGUGAUGCUCAUCUUCUUGCAGUUGCAGCACCACCUGGUGGCUUCUUCAUUGAGCCCCAGCUUGCAGAAACUUGCGUUGUUCGACUUUAAACAAACCUUUUCAAUCAGUAAUGAUCCUAAUAGCUGGAUAUGCUCCUAUUAUUCCGUCGAAGACGAAGAGUUUUACGAAAUUCCUUCUCGGCCAAAGACAAAGAAUUGGAGCAUGAGUUCUGAUCACUGCACAUGGGAUGGAGUUAGCUGCGACGACAAGACAGGGGAUGUUAUCGGACUGGAUUUAACUUGCAGUCAGCUGCAAGGAGCCAUUCUUCCUAACAACACUCUCUUCCAGCUCUCUCAUCUCCGCUUCCUCAAUCUUUCUCAAAACGACUUUUCCCAUUCCAACCAGUUCCCUCAGGAAUUUGGUUUCUUUGCAAAAGGUUUGAAGCAUCUCAACCUCUCUUAUACUGGAUUAUCAGGGAGAGUUCCCUUGGGAAUCUCUCAUUUGCAGAAACUGGUCUCACUUGAUCUCAGUUACAACUCUGAAGCUGAACUUAAAGAAGAAGUGUUUAAAUCAAUGUUGCAGAAUUUAACUCAUCUCAGAGUGCUUAAUCUUAAUUACGCUAACAUCUCCUCUGUUUUGCCCGUGAAUAUCUCUGCUUCUUUAAGAGUUCUUCAAUUGUGGGGUACUGGUAUAGACGGAGUAGUACCCCAAGAGGUUUUCCACCUUCCCAACUUGGAAUCACUUGAUUUAUCAAGUAAUUACGACCUGAGAGCUACAUUACCCAAAGUUAAGUGGGGAAGUAAUGCUACUCUCCAACACCUUGUUCUUAAAUACAUCAACAUAGAUGGAGGUAUACCUGAUUCAAUAGGCUUUUUGGAGUCGUUGGGCAGUUUGGAUCUGAGCCGUUGUAAUUUGUCUGGGCCGAUUCCAAGAUCCAUCGGGCACCUCAUUCAACUUACUACAUUGGUCCUCUCUGAAAAUAAUCUCAAUGGCCCAAUUCUAACUUUUCUUACAGACCUUAAAGACUUGAGAUAUAUCUCCCUUGAGCGUAACAAUUUUACGGGUUCGUUUCCCUCUUUUCUUGCCCACUCCAGUAAACUAGUUGUGAUGUAUCUUGAUAGUAAUAGCUUUACUGGAUCCCUACCCAGUUGGUUGUUUCACCCUCCAUCGUUAGAGACCUUGUAUCUGCAUAAUAACGCAUUCACGGGUCAACUACAUGAAUUUCAUUCUUCUCACUCACGGCUGCAAUCUUUUUGGUGUAACAACAAUUUACUCUACGGAUCCAUUCCACAUUCAUUUUCUCAACUUGUGAAUCUCACAUCCCUAGAUUUGUCAUCAAACAAUUUCAGCGGGGUUUUGGAUUUGGAAAUGUUUUCAGGCCUCAAAUUUCUAAGAAGUCUUGAUCUUUCUCAUAACAGUCUGUCAGUGAGAAGUACAAUCAUGUCUACUCUCCCUCCUAAACUUAACCACUUGGGCUUGUCAUCUUGCAACAUGAAAGAGUUUCCUCACUUUUCAAGAGAUGCAAACAUCUCCAUGGAUUUUAUAGACCUAUCAAACAAUAAAAUUGAAGGGGAAAUUCCACACUGGAUUGGGUCGCUGGGGAGGUACUCUGACACUUACAGCUCCUAUCUGAAUCUUUCUCACAACAAACUAAUAGGCGGUCUUGAGCAACUGCCUUGGGGUUAUAUUACUUAUCUUGAUCUCCAAUACAAUAAGCUGGAUGGAUCGUUGCCCACCUUGAUGUGUAGUUCCACCUCUCUUCAUAUUCUAAAUCUGUCUCACAACAAAUUGAGUGGUGUACUACCCAGUUGUCCUCCACAUAGGAAUAUUCUUUCAGUGUUGGAUCUGCGGAGGAAUAAAAUUCAAGGAAACAUUCCAGCAACCUUGUCAAAUUUCUAUAAUCUGGAAACCAUUAAUUUGAAUGGAAACCAAUUAGAAGGAGGCAUUCCUUCUUCUUUUGCUGAAUUUGAUUCAUUAGCCGUUCUUGAUCUUGGAAAUAAUCAGAUAAAUGAUACAUUCCCCCGGUGUUUGGAAGCUCUUCCAAAUCUCCAAGUUCUUGUUCUCAAAUCAAACAAGUUUUAUGGUCUUAUAAACACGAGUUCUCAGGUUGUACACCCAUUUCCUAGCUUGAGAAUCAUUGAUCUUUCGUACAACAAGUUUUCAGGUGCACUGCCAGAAAAAUAUUUCAGAAACUUCAAGGCUAUGAUGAAUGGUGAAGUGAAUAAGGUAAAUCGUAGUUAUAUGGAGCAGGAGGAUUAUUACAGGGAUUCCACAGCUCUAGUGAUUAAAGGCAUGGAGAUUGAUUUAGAAAGAAUUUUGACUGUGUUCACAACUAUUGAUGUAUCAAAGAACAAUUUUGAUGGGGAGAUAGCUGAAUACUUUGGAAAUCUUGUAUCACUCAGAUUUCUUAAUCUUUCUCACAAUUAUCUCACAGGCCACAUACCACGCUCGAUUGGAAAAUUGACUGUGCUGGAGUCACUAGACCUCUCAUCCAACCAACUUAAAGGAGAAAUUCCUCCGCAGCUCACUAGUGUAUAUUCACUUGCAGUUCUCAAUCUGUCUUGCAACCAACUUAGAGGACGUAUUCCAGAAGGGUGGCAAUUCGAUACGUUUGAAAACAGCAGCUACGCUGGUAACUUUGGGCUGUGCGGACAUCCCUUGUCGAAAAAGUGUGAAUCUUAUGUUAAAACACAAGAAGAAGACGAAGAAGAUGAGGAUGAAUGUCACUUUUUCAGUGGUUUUACUUGGGAAGCGGUGGUGAUUGGAUAUGGGUGUGGAGUGGUGCCUGCAUUUAUUAUUGGGUACCUGAUGUUGCUGGCACAGAAACCAAAAUGGUUUGCUGGAAUCAUUGGCAGGGAAUUGGGCCUGAAGAUGAGGAGGAUGGAGAUUAGAAUGCGAUAACUAAAGGUUUGCUGUAAUCUGUAUCCCA